AUUGAACGCUGGCGGCAGGCUUAACACAUUCAAGUCGAGCGAGCGGCGGACGGGUGAGUCAUGUCUGGGAACCUGCCCGAUGGAUGGGGAUAACUUCUGGAAACGGUCGCUAACACUGCAUACAAUCAGAUGUCCCCCGAUGGGAUUAGCUAGUAGGUGGGGUAAUGGCUCACCUAGGCGACGACCCCUAGCUGGUCUGAGAGGAUGACCAGCCACACUGGAACUGAGAAACGGUCCAGACUCCUACGGGAGGCAGCAGUGGGGAAUGUUAGACAAUGGGCGCAAGCCUGAUGCAGCCAUGCCGCGUGUGUGAAGAAGGCCUUCGGGUUGUAAAGCACUUUCAGCGAGGAGGCGUUACUCGCAGAAGAAGCACCGGCUAACUCCGUGCCAGCAGCCGCGGUAAUAC
rnacentral:rRNA from 1 species